AUUGAACGCUGGCGGCAGGCCUAACACAUGCAAGUCGAGCGGAGCGGCGGACGGGUGAGUAAUGCCUAGGAAUCUGCCUGGUAGUGGGGGAUAACGUCCGGAAACGGGCGCUAAUACCGCAUACUAUCAGAUGAGCCUGGGUCGGAUUAGCUAGUUGGUGGGGUAAAGGCCUACCAAGGCGACGAUCCUUACCUGGUCUGAGAGGAUGAUCAGUCAAACUGGAACUGAGACUCGGUCCAGACUCCGACGGUAGGCAGCAGUGGUGAAUAUUGGACAAUGGGCGAAAGCCUGAUCCAGCCAUCCCGCGUGUGUGAAGAAGGUCUUCGGUCUGUAAAGCUCUUUAAGUUGGGAGGCGUUACCAACAGAAUAAGCACCGGCUAAGUUCGUGCCAGCAGCGGCGGUAAUUC
rnacentral:rRNA from 1 species